UAGGGAAUCUUCGGCAAUGGACGAAAGUCUGACCGAGCAACGCCGCGUGAGUGAAGAAGGCUUUCGGAUCGUAAAACUCUGUUGUUAGAGAAGAACAAGGACGUUAGUAACUGAACGUCCCCUGACGGUAUCUAACCAGAAAGCCACGGCUAACUACGUGCCAGCAGCCGCGGUAAUACGUAGGUGGCAAGCGUUGUCCGGAUUUAUUGGGCGUAAAGCGAGCGCAGGCGGUUUCUUAAGUCUGAUGUGAAAGCCCCCGGCUCAACCGGGGAGGGGCAUUGGAAACUGGGAGACUUGAGUGCAGAAGAGGAGAGUGGAAUUCCAUGUGUAGCGGUGAAAUGCGUAGAUAUAUGGAAGAACACCAGUGGCGAAGGCGGCUCUCUGGUCUGUAACUGACGCUGAGGCUCGAAAGCGUGGGGAGCAAACAGG
rnacentral:rRNA from 1 species